AUUUUUAAUGUUUACGUGUUUUUUUUUUUUUUUAUUAUUUUUUUUUUUUAACCACGCUGUUGUAUCGGUAAAUGUAUAUCAUGUUGUUUAUAUCGGCUAAAGUCGGGGGUGCGAAUACACUCGCGGAAAACUGUCGCGACAUUUCUUCCGGACGUAUAAAUACAGUUUUGUGUGUGUGUGUGUGUGAUAUUUUUUCUUUAACGGUUUGCGUAUAGCAACGGCGGGACACGGCGACCUGACAACUCCCAUGUACAUCUGUACAUUGAUCUCUAUAGUCGCGUAUGGGUAUACAUCGUUACACGCAAUUGCGGGACUUUCUCGGAUAUUUCCGUGUGUACCGUGUACAUACUUGCGAACGUCCGUCGUCGUACGGGUUUUCCGAUUAUAUAAAUAUGUAUGUGUAUAUUUUCUUUUCGUCCGGAGUUUUGAUCUCAUUAAGUCUCAUUGGGGUGUUUUUUUUCCUAUCUACCGUCGUUUGUUUCCCGGCAAAAAACAAAACAAAAAUACGAAAACUAUACGCACUCCCCACCACCACCACCACCCCUUCAAACACACACACACACACACACACACACAUCUUUGGUCGUCUACCGUCGUAUCCGGUCUCGGACGAUCGGCAGUCAGCACGGGGUCGUCGCGAUUCG